rnacentral:rRNA from 1 species
UACAGAGGUCUCAAGCGUUACUCGGAUUGACUGGGCGUAAAGGGCGCGUAGGCGGCUUGUACAGUCAGACGUGAAAUUCCUGGGCUCAACCUGGGGGGCUGCGUUUGAUACGUGCGGGCUUGAGUUCGGAAGAGGGUCGUGGAAUUCCCAGUGUAGAGGUGAAAUUCGUAGAUAUUGGGAAGAACACCGGUGGCGAAGGCGGCGACCUGGUCCGAUACUGACGCUGAGGCGCGAAAGCGUGGGGAGCAAACAGG